GACAGAGGUGCCGAGCGUUAGGCGGAAUCACUGGGCUUAAAGCGUGUGUAGGCGGGUCGUUAAGUGUCUUGUGAAAUCCCACCGCUCAACGGUGGAACCGCUGGGCAUACUGGCGAUCUUGAGCAGUCCAGGGGCGAGCGGAACAAGCGGUGGAGCGGUGAAAUGCGUAGAUAUCGCUUGGAACGCCGACGGUGAAAACAGCUCGCUGGGGACUCGCUGACGCUGAGACACGAAAGCCAGAGGAGCGAACGGG
rnacentral:rRNA from 1 species